UACGUAGGGGGCGAGCGUUGUCCGGAUUUAUUGGGCGUAAAGAGCUCGUAGGCGGUUCGAUAAGUCGGACGUGAAAUCUCCACGCUCAACGUGGAGGGGCCGUUCGAUACUGUCGUGACUCGAGUCCGGUAGGGGAGUGUGGAAUUCCCGGUGUAGCGGUGAAAUGCGCAGAGAUCGGGAGGAACACCCGUAGCGAAGGCGGCACUCUGGGCCGGUACUGACGCUGAGAAGCGAAAGCGUGGGGAGCAAACAGGG
rnacentral:rRNA from 1 species